rnacentral:rRNA from 1 species
AGUGAAUAGAUACCCUGGUAGUCCUAGCCGUAAACGAUACUCGCUAGGUGUCGGCCACGGUGCGACCGUUGUCGGUGCCGUAGGGAAAGCCGUGAAGCGAGCCACCUGGGAAGUACGGCCGCAAGGCUGAAACUUAAAGGAAUUGGCGGGGGAGCACCACAACGGGUGGAGCUUGCGGUUUAAAUUGGAUUCAACGCCGGAAAUCUUACCGGGACCGACAGCAAUAUGAAGGCCAGGCUGAAGACUUUGCCGGAUUAGCUGAGGGGUGGUGCAUGGCCGUCGUCAGUUCGUACUGUGAAAGCAUCCUGUUAAGUCAGGCAACGAGCGAGACCCACGCCCACAGUUGCCAGCGUACUCUCCGGAGUGACGGGUACACUGUGGGGACCGCCGCUGCUAAAGCGGAGGAAGGAAUGGGCAACGGUAGGUCAGUAUGCCCCGAAUAUCCCGGGCUACACGCGAGCUACAAUGGUUGGUACAAUGGGUAUCUACCCCGAAAGGGGAUGGUAAUCUCCUAAAGCCAAUCUAGUUCGGAUUGAGGGCUGCAACUCGCCCUC